GUGGGGAAUUUUGGACAAUGGGCGCAAGCCUGAUCCAGCAAUGCCGCGUGCAGGAAGAAGGCCUUCGGGUUGUAAACUGCUUUUGUACGGAACGAAACGGUUCUGGUUAAUACCCGGGGCUAAUGACGGUACCGUAAGAAUAAGCACCGGCUAACUACGUGCCAGCAGCCGCGGUAAUACGUAGGGUGCAAGCGUUAAUCGGAAUUACUGGGCGUAAAGCGUGCGCAGGCGGUUGUGUAAGACAGGCGUGAAAUCCCCGGGCUCAACCUGGGAAUUGCGCUUGUGACUGCACGGCUGGAGUGCGGCAGAGGGGGAUGGAAUUCCGCGUGUAGCAGUGAAAUGCGUAGAUAUGCGGAGGAACACCGAUGGCGAAGGCAAUCCCCUGGGCCUGCACUGACGCUCAUGCACGAAAGCGUGGGGAGCAAACAGGAUUAGAAACCCUGGUAGUCC
rnacentral:rRNA from 1 species